rnacentral:lncRNA from 1 species
AUGCCCCUCUGCUAGCGUUGGUGAAGAAUACAAAUGGGUAUUUUUAAUGAUUUUCGGAAUAUCAGUAUACUAGUAAUAAUAUCUAUAAUUUAAAGCACAAGAUUCAUAAGACCCAGAGGCCCCCUCCCCAUUUUUGUGGGAACAAAAUGGUUGAUUGUAUAGGGAAUCACUGAAUCAUGAAUGGAGCGCCCCCUUUUAGGUCAGUCGACGGGCCCCUCCUUAUGAA